rnacentral:rRNA from 1 species
AGUGAACGCUGGCGGCGUGCCUAAUACAUGCAAGUCGAACGGACAAGUAAGAGCUUGCUCUUAUGAGUUAGUGGCGCACGGGUGAGUAAUGUAUAGCUAAUCUGCCCUACACUAGAGGACAACAGUUGGAAACGGCUGCUAAUACUCUAUACUCCUGUCUUACAUAAGUUAGAUAGGGAAAGUUUUUCGGUGUAGGAUGAGGCUAUAUUGUAUCAGCUAGUUGGUGAGGUAAUGGCUCACCAAGGCUAUGACGCAUAACUGGUCUGAGAGGAUGAUCAGUCACACUGGAACUGAGACACGGUCCAGACUCCUACGGGAGGCAGCAGUAGGGAAUAUUGCUCAAUGGGGGAAACCCUGAAGCAGCAACGCCGCGUGGAGGAUGACACUUUUCGGAGCGUAAACUCCUUUUGUUA